rnacentral:lncRNA from 1 species
AUUGAACUGAAGUUGUAUUACUGUGAGAGAAAGGGGGCGGGGGAUGGCGAUGGGAGAGAGAAAGAGAUCUACGGACCCUCUGGAUGGCCGGAGCAGACACUACAGUCUUCACCAGAGGCAGCCCCAUAAAAAUGUCAUCGUCUCGGGCUCUCCCCGCAUUACAACACAAUGAUUUCUUUGGGGAGGAGAAAAAAAAACUAAGAUUUAUUUUGCAACCACACCUCCGCCUCCCUUGGAAGAGAAAUACUGACCAACAACAAGUUGUGAAUGAAAUGUCUGCAGAUCGGCCCCCCUCGCCCAGCCUGAGAACUUUCCAGACGGAAAGGCGCACACGUGCACACAGCACCAGCUGAGCCGAUUUGUGCUGCUCUCAGCAGCCACCGGGGAUGGAGGAACCGCUCAAGGAUCUCCAGAGUGCGAGCCUGGUUCGGGACAAAGUUGCCCAACCUAGUGGUGUGAGCCACGUAAGGAGCUGGGGAGAGGGGAGUCUGUCCCCAAGACAAUGACAGCAUCUAGGGCUCAGUGCCAGGCUCCCGGGAGAAGCAAACAAGCCAUGGCUUUAGGGAGGGGUGCAGGCUCAUUAGAGAGCCCACUGAAGUGUUACCACCAUGCAGAGAGGAGGGGUGAGAGGGCACGGCUCUCCUCUGCCAGUUUUUUUCUCUUGGGACGGGGAAGCAGUGCUGCUUGGAAAAUAGCAAACUCAAACCUUCCCCCCAAAUGCCAGAAAUGUUCCCGGGAGUCCAGGCCACAAGGACAGUGUGUGCAAUGGCUUGGACCAGGCCAGAGCUGUUCUCCCUCCCCUUAAACUAUGCAUAAAAAGGAGGUUCCCCCACAUGCUCCUCCUGGGAUCUUUCUGGGGUUAUCCCACAUGAACCCGCUUAGAUUGCCUUUGAGGAAACAGAGAAGUGAAGAUCCCCCAUCCACUCCCCAUUUUGGAAAAGUGGACAUCAAGGCCCAGAGAAGGGACAGGACCAGCCCAAUGACCAACAGAGUCACCAGUGACUCUGGGGCUAUGCCUAGGACUCUGUCUCCAGUCUACUGUUCAUUCCCAAGGACAAGCCCACAACACAGUAGCAGCACCUGCAGAUGGAAAGCCUUCGAUCUCAAUGUCACCUGUUUGCCGCUUUCUGCAUAAGUAAUGUCAUUGUUGGAAUGAGUUUAUGAUGGUCUCCAUCCCCAUUUCUAUGAGCUGUGAGCAAGACAUCUGCUGCAUAGCUCACGUGUGUUCAGGCCUCCCUGGACCAGCAGCUCUGACUCACACACGCACAGAACGGUAAGGCACAGCCUCACUCCCUAAGGGCCCGAGAUCCAGGAAGGGGGACAAAACAGGGGUCAUGUAAACAUGUGUGAAUUGCAUACACGAGUAGGAUGGAUGAGGGCUGGGUUUGCUCAAAAAAAAGAGGUGCAACUCUGACUUUUAAUAAAUAGUUACUGGCGUCCUACUCUCUGCCAGGUGCUGAAAUACAAACAUGACUAGGUCUGAGUUCUACCCUCGUGGCAUUUAUAUCAAGAGAAGGAGACUGAGGCUGUAAACUUAAAUCUUCCCUAUGGAAGCCCCAGGAAGGCAGGGGCUUGGUUGUAUGGAGGCUGUAUGAACCCGGCACCUAGCAUAGCGCCUGCUAUACAGUAAACACACGAUAUGUUGGAUGACCAAACAGAAGCAGUGCCUGGAAGGAUGUUUCUAACUCUAGAGGACGUUAGCGAAGAGGUGAUACUCGAACGGGGCUUUGGAAGAUUAAUGAUCGCUUGCCAGGUGAAAG